rnacentral:rRNA from 1 species
CAGUAGCCGCGGGAAUACAGAGGGUGCGAGCGUUAAUCGGAUUUACUGGGCGUAAAGCGUGCGUAGGCGGCUUUUUAAGUCGGAUGUGAAAUCCCUGAGCUUAACUUAGGAAUUGCAUUCGAUACUGGGAAGCUAGAGUAUGGGAGAGGAUGGUAGAAUUCCAGGUGUAGCGGUGAAAUGCGUAGAGAUCUGGAGGAAUACCGAUGGCGAAGGCAGCCAUCUGGCCUAAUACUGACGCUGAGGUACGAAAGCAUGGGGAGCAAACAGGAUUAGAUACCCGCGUAGUCCCUGUCUCUUAUAA